AAUCAACGCUGGCGGCGUGCCUCAGACAUGCAAGUCGAACGAUUAAAGCUCUCUUCGGAGAGUGCAUAGAGUGGCGCACGGGUGAGUAACACGUAAGUAAUCUACCUUCGAGUGGGGAAUAACGUCCGGAAACGGACGCUAAUACCGCAUAAUGCAGCGGCAUCGCAAGAUGACAGUUGUUAAAGAAUUUAUUCGCUUGAAGAGGAGCUUGCGGCAGAUUAGCUUGUUGGUAAGGUAACGGCUUACCAAGGCUACGAUCUGUAACCGGUCUAAGAGGACGGUCGGUCACACUGACACUGAAUAACGGGUCAGACUCCUACGGGAGGCAGCAGUCGGGAAUUUUGGGCAAUGGGGGAAACCCUGACCCAGCAACGCCGCGUGAAGGAUGAAGUAUUUCGGUAUGUAAACUUCGAAAGAAUAGGAAGAAU
rnacentral:rRNA from 1 species